rnacentral:lncRNA from 1 species
UUGAGUUAGUUUUUCCUAGGUCCAGACCAAGGGAGAAAGCCUGGCUGUUUAUUUCACCAAGGCAGAUCAGAUGCAAAUCUCCUCCACAAAAGGCAGCUUUGCAGGGCUGUUCUUGUUUGCAGGCCCAGGGUUGGGUAGGAGCAGUACUAGAGGCAGAAGGAAGAGAUGGGAAGGGAGAUAGAUUGAGGGAGGCAUCACAGACAGAAGAGAAGACCCUCAGCUGAACUCUGGGAUCCCUAUUCUUCAGUCAGCAGCUUGGCUUAGAGCAGGUCACUCAUCCUCUCUGGUGGCCCCUUUCCUCCUUUUUAAUUAAGGGUUUGGGA